GACGAACGCUGGCGGCGUGCUUAACACAUGCAAGUCGAACGGACAGGCCCUGCUUUUGUUGGUUUCUCGUGUGGCGAACGGGUGAGUAUCACGUGUGUAACCUGCCCUUGACUUUGUGAUAACUUCAGGAAACUGGGGCUCUUACCGGAUAUGAUCUCCUGCUCCGUGGUGUGCGUUGGAAAGUGUCGGCGGUUGGGGCUCGACUCGCUGCUUAUCAGCUUGUUUGUGUGGUAGUUGCUUACGAAGGCUUUGAGGGGUAGCCUGCCUGGGAGGGGUACCGGGGACAAGAGGACUAAGGGACGGAGCAGAAGCGUACGGGAGGCAACAGGGGGGAAUAUUGCACAAUGGGGGGAAGCGUGAGACAGAAACGCCGGGUGCGGGAUGAUGGGCUACGGGGUGUAAACAGAUGUCGAAGGUGACGAAGAGUGAGUGACGGUAAUGGGUAAAGAAGCACCGGCUAACUACGUG
rnacentral:rRNA from 1 species